AUGAACGCUGGCGACGUGUUUUAGGCAUGCAAGUCGAACGCGUGUAGCAAUACACGAGUGGCAAACGGGUGCGUAACACAUUGGUAACCUACCUCGGUCACAGGGACAACUCGCCGAAAGGCGAGCUAAUACCUGAUGGUUCUUCCCAUCGCAGGAUGGGAACGUAAAGGCGCAAGCCGGACCGAGAGGGGCCUAUGGUCUAUCAGCUAGUUGGUGAGGUAAUGGCUCACCAAGGCAAUGACAGAUAGCGGGCGUGAGAGCGCGACCCGCCUCAGUGGAACUGAGACACUGUCCACGCUCCUACGGGGGGCUGCAGUCAAGAAUAUUCCCCAAUGGGCGAAAGCCUGAGGGAGCGACGUCGCGUGCAGGAAGAAACCCCUCGGGGCGUAAACUGCUUUUCUCUGGGAAUAACUCUGAAGGUACCAGAGGAAUAAGAGGCUGCUAACUUCGU
rnacentral:rRNA from 1 species